rnacentral:rRNA from 1 species
CGGGUACAACGAGUCGCAAGACCGCGAGGUUUAGCAAAUCUCUUAAAGCCGUUCUCAGUUCGGAUUGUAGGCUGCAACUCGCCUACAUGAAGUCGGAAUCGCUAGUAAUCGCGGAUCAGCAUGCCGCGGUGAAUACGUUCCCGGGCCUUGUACACACCGCCCGUCACACCAUGAGAGUUUGUAACACCCAAAGCCGGUGGGGUAACCUUUUGGAGCCAGCCGUCUAAGGUGGGACAGAUGAUUGGGGUGAAGUCGUAACAAGGUAAC